rnacentral:rRNA from 1 species
UACGAAGGGGGCUAGCGUUGUUCGGAUUUACUGGGCGUAAAGCGCACGUAGGCGGCUCUUUAAGUCAGAGGUGAAAUCCCAAGGCUCAACCUUGGAACUGCCUUUGAUACUGGGGAGCUUGAGUCCGGGAGAGGUGAGUGGAACUGCGAGUGUAGAGGUGAAAUUCGUAGAUAUUCGCAAGAACACCAGUGGCGAAGGCGGCUCACUGGCCCGGUACUGACGCUGAGGUGCGAAAGCGUGGGGAGCAAACAGG